GGAAAUUAUUAAUCAUUUAAAAAUAAAGCAUCCAGUGUAUAUCUCUUCCUUCGAUAAGUGAAAUAUUGCAGAACCAACCAAUAUUCUCUUAGUGAAAAGACUACCAUGAAUGUAAAGUUUUAUUCAGUGUUCCUCAAACUUGCUUUAAAUAUAAAAUAAUCAUUUGAGGCAUACAUGCUACAAAAAACAAAUCCAGGACUUUGCUCUUGGAAACUUUUAUUUAGUGACUUUUGUACUCAUGUCCUGGGAAGUUAUAAUUUUAACAAGCAUUUCCCACAUUUCUUAUUAUUGGGCAAGUUAGUAGAAGUUGAGAAUCCAGCUCUGAAAUCAGAGAGGCCUGGGUUUGAAUCUCAUUUUUAAUGUAAAGAAUGAUGUACACACUGUAAAAAUAUACGUAAGGUUCUUACCCAUUCUGUUCCCCAGUUUUUUUUUUAAUCAAUGAAACUAGGCUAAAAUAGUUAUACCUCCCACAAAAAGUUGUGAGAUAAAUAAUGCAUUUUACAAUGCUUAGCAAAUUAUAGUUUCCUUAAAUGUCUUAUAUCCUCUGUCUCCAUUUCUUUCUUUGAUUUCAGCAGAAGCCAUGUUCUCCCAACUCUCCAAAAUGCUACCACAGUCUUUCACUUCACAAUCAAAUACACAAUUUUAAAUUUGAAAAUUACCCAAGUCUAUCUUUUUAGAGGGAAUUAAUAUGAGAAAGUGAAACUUUGGUUUUUACUUGCCCUAAACAUUCAUCCUUAAGCCCAAGCUAAUUAUUUAUUAAUUUAUUCAUUCAACAACUAUUUCUUUCACCUUCUACUAAGUGUUAUCACUAUGUUAGGCUUAGGAGUCCAGCAUAACGAUAGGAAAACUCAGUCUGUUCCCUGUUCUCCUUGAAUCACUGAGAAUCCUUUUACCUCUGAAAUUUUUUUUUUCCCCUGUAACUUCUAUUGCUAACACUUUCAGUUAGACCCCAUAUUUCUAUGCUCUGUAAGUGCCAUGAGUGUUAGAAAGUUGCUAACGUUGCACAUUUGUUCUUAUUGGAUGAGCAGCCUCAUUAGCUCCUUGACUACAGCUCUAAAGCCUAACAAGAACCCCUGUCAGCUGAUGCCAGAUGAAGAAUGAAGCCAAGCUCACUAGCUUAUCCAUGAGCAAAGGAGCCAGACAACCAGAACUCCACACCAGUGUAACAUAGAAGCCUUCGGUGAACAGAGUCUGCCUGUGACCCAGUAGAAGCCAUAUGAAUGAGAGGUUGACAACGGUGGUAGAAGCGACAAGGCUGAUGUUAGUGAUCCAGGCAGCCGGGGGUCCAGUGCUGCUUCUGAGAGAGAUAUUGAAGCAACAAGUCUCAGUUAAAGCUCUGAGAUGCAAAGCACAAUGACAGUUACAACUAUUCAUUUAUUUUGAAUGACACGGCAAUACAUGAGGCAGAUAAGCAAGGAUCAGUGUCCACAUUUUAUAGAGGCAGAGAUGAAUGUCAGCCACUGGAUUACUCAGAGGAUCCCCAUUGUAUCUCCUUGCCCACUUUGUGUAAUGGAACAGUUUGUUUACGUGGUUUGCUUAUGAUUCUUGAAGCUUCAGCUGAUUCAGAAGCUCCCAGAAUCUGACUAUUCCUUGCCCCAUGGUCCUCUCAUUGCCUUUUCAAAGCCAGCAACAGCUGAUCAAGUCUUCUCACACUGUUUUUCCUCUGACAGUCACUUUUUUCUCCUCUCUUUUACUUCUAAGGAUGCCUGAACUUAAAUUCACCUCACCACAAGAUUACUGAACAAUUUUCCCAUCUCAAGAUCCUUGAUCAAAUAUGCAAAAUCGAUUCUACCAUCUAUGUCCAUCGUUGGCUGGCUCUAAGGAAGGAAGAUGCAAUGGAACAAGAGCAGAGAAGAGCUGAUCACAUCAAGACAGCCAAGAAGCAGAGAUAAAAGGAAGAAACCAGGGAGGGCGUUACACCCUUCAGGUCAUGCCCCCAAUGACCUCUUCCAACCCAAUCCCAUCUUUUAGCAGUAAACAAACUACAUCACACCCAUGAUUUCAUCAUCCAAAAUCUCUGCAUGUGAGUGUGUGAGGCUCUUGGGGGACAUCUGGAUCCAAACCAUAAUAAUCUUGAAUUUGGUAUUUCAGUCAUCUUGUAGAGUCUGAGAGAGCUAAAAGAAAGGACUUUGUUUGGUGGAGGUUCAUGCAUUAAACUAAUAUUUCUUGUGUCCUACCACACCUUGCACAUUGCUACUAACUGCAUUUUUAAUGGUGAUAAAGGUGUGUGAUACCUUUUUCCCUUGGUUUAGCCUAAUGGAAAAAAUUAUGGGAGGAAAACAAACAGGUACAAAACAAGGUUACUAGGUGUUGUGUGGCAGGAAGGUCUUGACGAGUUACUCUAAUGAAAGUAUUUUGUCACCAAAAAAAAAAAAAAAAAAAAAAAAAAAAAAAAAAA